ensembl:Y_RNA Y_RNA Y RNA
GACUCUUCUGAAGGCAGUGAGUUUUCUCCGUUAAUUGUUCAGUCAGUUACAGAUAAAACCCCUUGUUCUACUCUUUUCCCCAUUUUCACUACUGCACUUGAAUAGCAUUUU